CCUGAUCCAGCCAUCCCGCGUGUGCGAUGAAGGCCUUCGGGUUGUAAAGCACUUUUGGCAGGAAAGAAACGGCCUUGGAUAAUACCUGAGGCAACUGACGGUACCUGCAGAAUAAGCACCGGCUAACUACGUGCCAGCAGCCGCGGUAAUACGUAGGGUGCAAGCGUUAAUCGGAAUUACUGGGCGUAAAGCGUGCGCAGGCGGUUCGGAAAGAAAGAUGUGAAAUCCCAGAGCUUAACUUUGGAACUGCAUUUUUAACUACCGGGCUAGAGUGUGUCAGAGGGAGGUGGAAUUCCGCGUGUAGCAGUGAAAUGCGUAGAGAUGCGGAGGAACACCGAUGGCGAAGGCAGCCUCCUGGGAUAACACUGACGCUCAUGCACGAAAGCGUGGGGAGCAAACAGGAUUAGAUACCCUGGUAGUCCACGCCCUAAACGAUGUCAACUAGCUGUUGGGGCCUUCGGGCCUUGGUAGCGCAGCUAACGCGUGAAGUUGACCGCCUGG
rnacentral:rRNA from 1 species